AGGGACUGUACUCUUCUUGAGCUGUUACAAGUCAUCAGAAAGGGUUCUGACACGGCUGGCACACUUGCAGUAGGACUGCUUCACUGGAAAAAUCCAUAUGUGUAUGGGAACGCUCACCUCCCUCUCAUCUUAUCUGAAGAUGCCUGUUGUCCUGCAUUUCAACGUUUUCCUACACAAAAUGACUUAUAUCCUUUAUCCUGUCCAGCUUCACUUUCUAUCACUCCAGUGCCUUCAUACAGCAGUAGCAGUCAAGAAACUUUAAGUCAGUACUCUACAGAAGCCAAAAAUCCUGGGAUCCGGUACUUCAAAUACCAUUCCUAAUGUCUUCUCUGACAGCAACACCUGUAAAGCAGGAGUGCUAGUGCAAUUGCUAAGCAAUUCAGUCAUUCUUCUAGUAUUCACUGCAUACCUCUCAAAAUUGGGAUGGAUGCUUGUGGGCUGGUGGAGAUGCAGGCUGCUGACCCAGCUGGCAAUGUCUUGUGGUUGAGAAGUCUGAGAAGUGUUUAUUUCUGGGGAAAAUCCUCAGACAGAGUUCUAAGUCCACCGAUGUGCUUGUGCAUGAAUCCCUCUGACCAGAGUGCAAGAGCCCUCCUUGAUUUUCAGUUUGAAAUUCAAGAUUGUAUGUAAACUCCGUUGGAAUCAAUGGGAAGACUGACUUGUACUGCAGUAUGAGGUGAUGUAAUCCAGGAUGAGCAAAACUUUUACUCAGAUUUGACCACUUCUUCAAACAUAUUUUAGAAGCUCUCCUUGCUGCCUCCUGUGUGUGAUCAUGCAUUUUCUUUUGGUAUUGUGUUUAUAACUAAGCACUCUUUUGCUGUCACACAACUGCUAUCUCUCUGCACUGCCUAUCCUUCCUUUGUCCAGUUGUUUCCUACCCCCUUGCUUCCUUUCCUCUUAGAAAUAAACUUCAGAAAUCCCCUGGAAGAGACGCUUAUUUCUUGUUGUUGGUAGAGAAGAAAAAUGCACAUGCAGGAUACUAUUUUGUGGCUACAGAAAUAAUUGCUGCUUUGCAAAUGACAAGUUCUCAAAGCCCAGUCAGCUUUUGCAUGUCAAGAAUAAAAAGUGGAAACACACCUCAUGUACAAGAAGCUGCAUACUUCUUUCUUACUUUAAUACUUCCCCUAGAUGCUUCAUUUCUCUGUUGCCAGAAAUCCUGUCAUUCACAUGCUUGGAAAACUUCGGUCUUUAAGAU